AAAGCAGAAGAGGAAUUUCGUCGAGAAAAAGAAAAAAUAGCGAAACAACAAUCGCUUCAAGAAAGACAAGUUGACGAAGCCCGAGAUAAAUUACCGAAAGCUAUGGACACAGAACUUGCGGAAAUAAUGAAGACUGUGGAAAGGAUAAUCAUGAUACGAGGUAGCCGUAGUACUAAAGAAUUACAAGCCUUCAACAUUGUAGCAAAACAAACGUUUUGCCCAAGAUUAAAACCUUUUUACAAAGAUAUUUGUUAGAUCACUAAUUCCAAAUGCAAAUAAAAAUUUAACAGAAACUAGUUCUAUCUGCAUAGAAACA